AGCUCAGUCGUUAGAACAGAGGACUGAAAAUCCUCGUGUCGGUGGUUCAAUUCCGCCCCUGGGCACCA
rnacentral:tRNA from 2 species